UACGUAGGGGGCAAGCGUUGUCCGGAAUCAUUGGGCGUAAAGAGCGCGUAGGCGGCCCAGUAAGUCCGCUCUGAAAGUCAGGGGCUCAACCCCUGGAUGCGGGUGGAUACUGCUGGGCUAGAGUCCGGAAGAGGUGAGUGGAAUUCCUGGUGUAGCGGUGAAAUGCGCAGAUAUCAGGAGGAACACCGAGUGGCGAAGGCAGCUGCACUGGACGGUACUGACGCUGAGGCGACGAAGGACGUGGGGAGCAAACACGG
rnacentral:rRNA from 1 species